rnacentral:rRNA from 1 species
UACAGAGGUCUCAAGCGUUGUUCGGAAUCACUGGGCGUAAAGGGUGCGUAGGCGGCGGGGAAAGUCAGAUGUGAAAUCCGGAGGCUCAACCUCCGAAUUGCAUCCGAUACUCCCCUCGCUAGAGAGUUGUAGAGGAGCUUGGAAUUCUCGGUGUAGCAGUGAAAUGCGUAGAUAUCGAGAGGAACGCUCGCAGCGAAGGCGAAGCUCUGGGCAAUUUCUGACGCUGAUGCACGAAGGCUAGGGGAGCAAACGGG